GGGCGGUGGGCACUUCCGCGGUGUCCGCUACUGCGGGCGACUUUUUUUUUAAAAAAUAUCAGAGUGCUCCACACGCGCGUCUCCCCAGAGUGCUCGCGCGUGGAAUAAUAAAAGAAGAUUUCGCCCCUUUUUUUUUGUUUUUGAGGAAUGAAAUGAUGGUUAAGAGAAACAAGGGGGGGCAUUCUUUCUGCUGCAGAAGAGAAAAAAUUCUUGGACCGGAGGACCACCAACAACAAAGAAAGCUUUUGCCAAGAAUGUCUUCAUUAAUCAAAAAAAAAAGUGGGAGGUUCGAAGGCUAUCAAAUACCGCCCUCCUUCUGACCGAAAACGAUGCCCACUAGCGAUCCGCCGGAGGAUUCCUAACGCCCUGGUGGGGAGCUUCCCGGAAACGAAAGUUUUCCGGUUCCGGGGGAAGUAUGGUUGCAAAGCUGAAACUUAAAGGAAUUGACGGAAGGGCACCACCAGGAGUGGAGCCUGCGGCUUAAUUUGACUCAACACGGGAAAACUCACCCGGCCCGGACACCGCGAGGAUUGACAGAUUGAUAGCUCUUUCAUGAUUCGGUGGAUGGUGGUGCAUGGCCGUUCUUAGUUCGUGGAGCGAUUUGUCUGGUUUAUUCCGAUAACGAGCGAGACUCUAGCCUACUAACUAGUCCGCACCUUCGCUUGUUGGGUGCUUCAAUGGACUUCUUAGAGGGAUUUUCGGCGUUUCAGCCGCACGAAACUGAGCAAUAACAGGUCUGUGAUGCCCUUAGAUGUCCGGGGCUGCACGCGCGCUACACUGGCGAAAUCAGCGUGCCUGUCCUCUCGCGAAAGCGACUGGUAAACCGGUGAAAAUUCGCCGUGAUUGGGAUCGGAAAUUGCAAUUAUUUUCCGUGAACGAGGAAUUCCAAGUAAGUGCGAGUCAUCAACUCGCGUUGAUUACGUCCCUGCCC
rnacentral:rRNA from 1 species